rnacentral:rRNA from 1 species
AAUAGAUACCCCGGUAGUCCACCCCGUAAACGUUGGGAACUAGUUGUGGGGUCCAUUCCACGGAUUCCGUGACGCAGCUAACGCAUUAAGUUCCCCGCCUGGGGGAGUACGGCCGCAAGGCUAAAACUCAAAGGAAUUGACGGGGGACCCGCACAAGCGGCGGAGCAUGCGGAUUAAUUCGAUGCAACGCGAAGAACCUUACCAAGGCUUGACAUAUACGAGAACGGGCCAGAAAUGGUCAACUCUUUGGACACUCGUAAACAGGUGGUGCAUGGUUGUCGUCAGCUCGUGUCGUGAGAUGUUGGGUUAAGUCCCGCAACGAGCGCAACCCUCGUUCUAUGUUGCCAGCACGUAAUGGUGGGAACUCAUGGGAUACUGCCGGGGUCAACUCGGAGGAAGGUGGGGAUGACGUCAAAUCAUCAUGCCCCUUAUGUCUUGGGCUUCACGCAUGCUACAAUGGCCGGUACAAAGGGCUGCAAUACCGUAAGGUGGAGCGAAUCCCAAAAGCCGGUCCCAGUUCGGAUUGAGGUCUGCAACUCGACCUCAUGAA